UGUGCAGUGUGAGUGUGCCAGGGCUCCUGGCCAGUCUCAGAAGUGUGCGGACGGAGGUCGCCAGAGGAUCAGACCACAGAACAAGGCCAGUGUUGGCAGCCCUGAGGAGCAGAGAGAUUCCAGGCUCUUCUGAGAGGAGAGGCCCACUCACUGAGAGCUGUCCUGAGUGAAAUGACAUUAUCUGACUGAGGAAUCAGGGCGGGUCUUUUUGAUGAUUGUUGUUGCUAUCCAACUGCUUUUUUGUUUUUUUGAGCGUCACUGGAGUUAUUAACUGCGGAGAGUUCGGUUGGCAGAUGAGGAAGAAGGGGGCCACAGGAAGGAGCCAAUUUGCUCAAGGACACAGGGCAAACAUGUGGCAGAAGUGAGAAUGACAAAAGUCCUGAUUACAACAGUGGACCGCGGCGCUUGCUGUAAAGUACCAGACGCUGUGCUAAGCAUCACCUUCCCUCAUCUUCACGACAAUUAAAAAGUAAACCUCAUCACCCACACUUUACAGAGAAGGCAACUGAGGCUCAGAGGAGGUACUCCUUUCUGGCAUCCUGACUUUUCUUGGAGGAUUUUUUGCAACUGCUGGUUGGCAAAGGGGAAAAUCUCAUUUUUGAAGGAUAAUGAAGAAAGGGAGGAAGGGAGGAGAAGAAACAGAAUACAAGGGCCAAGCUGGCCCCUGUAAUAAAAUGUCAUCCCGUAAGAUGU